UUUACUCUCUUUAAUCAUUGCUUCAGUUUUUUCAAAUUUUUUUUUCCCUCUUUCAGUAUGAUUUACGAUACAAAGAUGCUUCUCUGAAGUUGCUUCACAUAUUUAUUUACUUUAAUUUUGGUUAGCAUAGGUUGUUUAUGCUGUCUUGAGACUAGCAGAAGACCUUAGUGUAGCACCGGUUCCAUUCCUGUGGUUCCCAAUGUGGAAAGACAUUUAAACAAAAGAGAAAAAGGUUUCUGGCAAGAAAGUCUAUGAUGAUUUGAUGACACUGCUUAUGGCUGGGUAUGAAACAUCACUGCAGUUUUAACAUGGACCUUAUCGUUCAUUCUUUUUUUGAAUGGCUGCAGGAGCCUAGGGUUGUGGCAAAGCUCCAAGAAGAGGUAUCUUAUAUUUUCGUGCAUCCAAAUCUAUAUAAAAAAUCGAUUUGGUUUGUGUCUUAUGCAAUCUAACCGUUGUCUUUUCAUUCAAUCACUUUGUUUCUGUUAGGCUGUUUCUACACUAGGAGAUAGGUUUCCAACUAUUUGAGGAUGUAAAGAAACUAAGUAUGCAACUUGAGUAAACAAUGAUAUUAGUAUUUCUAACUUCUUAUUAGAAAAUGACCGGACUUUGCUAUCAUGCAUAAGACUUUUCUCCUUAUCAUUGCUGUCCUUAUGGUAGCCACAACCACGAGAGUUGAUUCAAUGAUCUCUCGAAAAUGACACACUUGGGAAAUAAGCUAUAAAAAGGUUUUAUUCUGUUAAUUUGAUUGAAUACGAUUAUUUAUUUAGUUACUAAGUUUUCUUCAUAUAUUAUAGUGGCCUGAACUUUUUUUUCCUUCUAGUUUCCAUCUUCUAGUCCUUUCUUAUAUAUGUCAUCUUUAUCUUAAUUACUAUUUAUAGCCUACAGGGUUAAGGAUAUAUUUAUUUCGGUGUGGAAUGAUUCCAUUGGAAUCUGUUUUGUAGUCCCAAACAUUGGGAGAAUACAGGGUGAGGACAUAUUUUCUUUUUUCAGGUAAAUGUUCAUAAUUUUAUCCAUGCAUUGGUCCUUGAUAUCGAUUUGCACUGAGGUAAACGUCAUUUGAAGGUUAUACCAUCUACUAUCUUUGUUACAUAUCAUUGAUAGUAGUAAUCAAUUUUUCAUUUACUUGCCAUUUGGUGCAGGACCAAUGAAGUAGGAACAUGUUUGCUACAUAAGCGACUGUCGUAGCACUUGCAAUGCUUAUUUGGAGAUUUAACUUUCAAAUGACAUUUGGAGCUCCAUAAGUGAAGAUGACAACAGGGCAACAAUUAUUGGUUGUCGAAGAUGACCAUAACAAAGAGAGUGCAACCUUCUUACCUACGUUAGAGAUGCCAGCACUGAAAAGUAGAUAAAGUCUGUUGGUAUUUCUGAAAAGGACCCUUCGGUUGCUCAGAAUGGUCACCUUGUACAAAAUAUAUGAAGUUUAUAGUAUAAAGAAUGUUGUAGUUCUUGUUGCAUUUUAAAAAUCGAUGUGGUUGUAGAUGGGGAAAGAUUUGGAGAAAGAUUACAAACAUUGUGAGGAACCAAACAAAUUGCAUGUAAUUCACCAAAUGAAUAUAUAAUAAGGAAGAAAAUAGGCAGAAAUACUGAGGAAAAAUAAGGCAUAGAUUAAAAUGUUGUGGUCUGUCGCUCAAUGCUCACAUGACAAAGAUGUAAGAUGCAAUCCAUUAGGGAGAGAAAUUCAUUUUACUACAAUGAA